rnacentral:lncRNA from 1 species
UUAAAGCUAUGCGGUAUCAUUGGUUGGCCGAUCAUGUUCUUCUCUGAUUGUUGGUCGACCGGCUAAUGAUACUUGUAUAGUCUAAGUAUCUAACACUACAUGAGUACUAAACUCAGGCGUAUAUAUGGUUAACUAGGGAUUGGUUGUUGACUUGUUUUAAUGCAGGUUCUCGUUACUUGAAGCUAGAUCAUGGAAGGAGGCCAAGUCUAACUUAGUAACGGUUUGCUUAGCCUUAGCUUUUAUUGCAUGUUAGGGCUAGAUUGAUUGUUAUUUUGGGUUGU